UAUUACGCGCUGAUAGCACGCGUGUUUUGCGCAUAUCCUACUCUCUUCUGCGGAUGCGCGUUGCCUUAUCCGUUGUGAUCGCGUGAUGUCUCUGCAUGUUUGGUGAGUUCGGCGGGUAGUUCUGCGUCGAUCGCUGUUUUAGGCAGACGUACUUCACGCGCGUGGUGUCAAUUUUUCACAUUUCAAUUUACAUAUCGCGUUUUAUUUGUUCGACAAUCGACUAUUUAGUGGUAGCUGGCAUGAUUGUUAUAGUCUAUUGUUAAUUUUAAUCGCGCGUUGAAUCUCAAUACUUAAGUGCUAGUUCUUUUUCGCGUGUGAUGUGCGAAUUGCAAUUCACAAUAUGCGUUCCUAACGCUCGGGAUGUUUACGGUUGUGGUGUUAUCGCCCGUUAUCGUGUGUUUUGCUGCUUGUUUGACUAACAGCGGUUUGUGGAUGAAUCGCAGCCAUGUUGAUUCGCUUCAUAUGGAGGACCAUGUACGCUUAAGUGCCUGUGCCUGUGCCUUAUAGCGCAUAAUGGACUAUGCCUUGCAAUUGGAGCAUUCUCCGUUAAAUGUACGUUCGAAGAUCGUUUUCUAACCCGGCUAUCAGUUGAGGUAUCCACCUUAUCCAUUUUCCAUUCCUCUGCGUGCUCACUGCGGAAAAAGGACUUUUAGCGUAAAAGUACCCACUGAUUCAUACAUCCGUGGCGCAUACACUGGAGAAUCACCUGAUAUUCGAUGUGAUAUCAUAUCAUCGAUUUUGCUACCACAUCAACCAAAUGGACCUUCCUCCUGGUGAAAAGCACCGGCUUUUCGAAGGGAUGCGAUACCUCUAUAACUCGUAAACCACAAACGCAUUCUUUUAGUUCACUUAUAAUUAGAAUUGUAUAUAUUUAGAGACCUUUGAUAAUUAAUUUGAUGAAUGCUUGUGGAAUAACAUGCAGUGUAAACUCUUUAUAACGAUACUUACUAAGAUUAGUUGAAUUAAGGACUGAUCUUACUCCAGCGAUUUAUCAGAAACUGACUUUGUACCUAUUUUUACGUCAUAAAAAAGGUUAUCAAGAGUUUACAUUGUAUUGUACACGUAAUCGCCUCAUGACUUUUACUGUAUCGCAUUAUUGCGUUAUAUUUGUGGGUAGUAUUGCGGAUAAGGGUAUUUGGUAAUUGCCGCACUACUGUUUAGCUCACGAAAGGGCGUCUGUAGAGAUGUUAAAUUAAAUUCUCGGUGGGGUUAUAUUAGUUUGUUGUAGGUGUGACUCCUUCAACAUUGGUAAAUUUGAAAAUUGGGUGGUUACGUGGGAUUUUCACAUAAAACGUGAAAUUGUUGAAGUUUUUUCGGUGUAGCUCGCGAGGGGCGGUUUGAAAUUUCCCCGCGGUUUCUAGAGAAGUUAAAUUAAAUUAUCCGUGGGGUUGUAUUAGUUUGUUGUAUGAGCGGCGCCUGCAAUAUUGGGAAAUUCUCAAAUUGGGUGGUUUAGUGGGUUUUUCAUAUAAAGGGUGAUAUUGUUGGAGUUUUUUGGGAAUAGCACGCGAGAUAGGCGAGUUCGAAAUUUUUCCGCGGUUUCUAGAGAAGUCAAAUUAAAUUCUCGGUGGCGUUAUAUUAGGUUGUUGUUGGAGUGACUCCUGCAACAUUGGUAAAUUCGAAAAUUGAGUGGUUAAGUGGGAUUGUCACAUGAAGGGUGAAAUUGUUUGGGUUUUUUCGUUGUAGCUCGCGAGGGGGGCGGCUUAGAAAUUUCGCCGCGGUCUCGAGUGAAGGCAAAUUAAAUUCUCCGUGGGUUUGUAUUAGUUUGUUGUAGGAGUGACGCCUGCAAUAUUGGUAAAUUCAAAAAUUGGGUGGUUAAGUGGAAUUUUCACAUGAAAGAGUGAAUUUGUUGGGGUGUUUUCGGUAUAUUGCGAAGGGAACGGUUUAGAAUUCUCAGCGCAGUUUCUAGAAAAAUUGAAUUAUAUUUUCGGCGCGGUUAUUAUUUUUUACAAAAGCUUCGGCUUCAUUCUGUUUUCCACAUUUCCUUUCUUUUGUGUCUUUUAUGUUAUCCAUGUAGAACCUGAGAUUAUGUUUAAUUGUGUUAUUUUUCCUAUGUGCUACUGUGUAAUCUACUUGUGUUGUCUAUGUAGAAUGUGUUUCCAUAUGUAGAUGUUUUGUAUAUUUUGUUCUUGUAAGAUGCAUUGUGUAGUUGUAGUAGUUGUAGUAGUGUAGUUGUAGUGUGUAGUUGUACACUGUAGUUGUUCGUGUUUGUGUGUGUUUAAAUGUUUGCUUGCACCUUGUGUUGUGCGUUUUAAUAUAUCUACUGUUGUUGUUGUAUGUAAAUUAAAGUACAGAACUGUAAAUAGUCAAUUCAAAAUAUCAUUUUACUUUUCAUCAACAAGUUUAUUAGGUAGCCAUUUACUGCUAUGAACGUGUUGUCAUGUGUCGGAAAUAGCGUUUAACAUUUUAACUGCAAUAUGACGGUACAGAAUCGGCACGAUGGUGGUGAUACAUAACGUCAUCGUGAUGAUGCAAAUGUGACGAACCUAAUCAUAUUUAUUUUGUGAUACCUAUUUAAACUUUGCGAAACUAAUGGUAGGAUAGGAUUUUAAUUUAUUUUUAAAAUGUUUGACAAAUAAGCUAGUUGUGAAGUGAUAUACUUAAUUUUAUUACUUUCAUUGUUGAAUACGUAAUCCAUUUUGUAUAAUUUAAAAAUAUUUAUUUAUUUAAAGUUAUACGUGAUUUUUCUGGAUUUACAUUUUAUAUAUUGAGUUGACAUGUGUCGCCCUGAGGGCAUCUUCAUAAACUGUUAAUUAUUUAGGAUUAUUGGAACACAAGCACAUCACAACAUCACAAGCAGAGCGUUACUCAAAUCAAAUUGAAUGAAUCAAAAGUAAUAAAUACUACCCUGAUGCUUUUAA